UACGGAGGGUGCGAGCGUUGUCCGGAAUCAUUGGGCGUAAAGGGCGCGUAGGCGGUUUGACAAGUCUGAUGUGAAAUCUCUGGGCUCAACCCAGAGUCUGCAUUAGAAACUGUCGGGCUUGAGUAUGGGAGAGGUGAGUGGAAUUUCCGGUGUAGCGGUGGAAUGCGUAGAUAUCGGAAGGAACACCUGUGGCGAAAGCGGCUCACUGGACCAUAACUGACGCUGAGGCGCGAAAGCUAGGGGAGCAAACAGG
rnacentral:rRNA from 1 species